rnacentral:rRNA from 1 species
CAAGCGUUGUUCGGAAUUAUUGGGCGUAAAGGGUACGUAGGCGGCAUGAUAAGUCAGAUGUGACACCCUCGGGCUCAACCUGAGGCCUGCGUCUGAUACUGUUGUGCUAGAGUUACUGAGAGGAAGACGGAAUUCCUGGUGUAGGGGUGAAAUCUAUAGAUAUCAGGAAGAACACCUAUUGCGAAGGCAGUCUUCUGGCAGCUAACUGACGCUGAUGUACGAAAGUUAGGGUAGCAAACAGGAUUAGAGACCCUGGUAGUCCUAACCGUAAACGUUGUAUACUAGGUGGUUGAAGUAUUGAUCCUUUGACUGCCGGAGCUAACGCAUUAAGUAUACCGCCUGGGGAGUAUGCCGGCAACGGUGAAACUCAAAGGAAUUGACGGGGGCCCGCACAAGCAGUGGAGCAUGUUGUUUAAUUCGAAGAUACGCGAGAAACCUUACCAGGUCUUGACAUAUACCUGAAUGGUGUGGGAACACAUCCGCCCCUCGGGGCAGGUAUACAGGUGCUGCAUGGUUGUCGUCAGCUCGUGCCGUGAGGUGUUGGGUUAAGUCCCGCAACGAGCGCAACCCUUAUUCUUUGUUGCUAACAGGUUAAGCUGAGCACUCUAAGAAGACUGCCGGUGACAAACCGGAGGAAGGUGGGGAUGACGUCAAAUCAUCACGGCCCUUAUGAUCUGGGCUACAAACGUGCUACAAUGGGCGGCACAAAGAGUUGCGAUACCGCGAGGUGGAGCUAAUCUCAAAAAACCGUCCUCAGUUCGGAUUGGAGUCUGAAACCCGACUCUAUGAAGCUGGAAUUGCUAGUAAUCGCACAUCAUCAUGGUGCGGUGAAUAUGUUCCCGGGCANUUGUACACACCGCCCGUCACAUCACCCGAGUUGAUUAUACCCGACGCAGCCGGGCUAACCCCUUCUGGGGAGGCAGGUUUCUAAGGUAUGAUUG